AGAAGUUGAAGUCAAGUUAUUUAAAAAUAUCCUCAUCUAUGUUGCAGAUAGUUGUUUGAUCUAGGCACAUGAACCACUUGUGUCUAAUUUAUUUGUGCUUUGUUAUGGUAGAUUUGAUUUUUAUACUUAAUAUAUUCAACAUAAACAGGCAAUAGGGAAUUAAGUCAACCAAAAUGCCUUGUGUCAGAAUCGGGAUCCUCUAUGGUGGAUCUUUUGCACCAUAGAGGGCUGUGCAUCCUUGGAUUGCCACCAUGUCAUCCAUCUCAAAAUGGAGGGCUCUUGCACAAUCUCCUUAUCCAAUGAGUUUGGUAACUACUCAUGUGUUUGGCAUUCCAAUGCGACGGUCUCUGUGAGAACCUUCCAUUUAUGGGAUUGAUGACAUAGCAGCGAUCCGUGUAUUCGUAGCUGUCUGUGGUGCGAAUAAUGCACUGCAGAG
rnacentral:lncRNA from 1 species